AACGCUGGCGGCGUGCCUAAUACAUGCAAGUCGAACGCUUUGUCUUUAAUUGAUAUGAAGAGCUUGCUCUGAUUUGAUUUUAUCUGACAAAGAGUGGCGAACGGGUGAGUAACACGUGGGUAACCUACCUCUUAGCAGGGGAUAACAUUUGGAAACAAGUGCUAAUACCGUAUAAUACUAACAACCGCAUGGUUGUUAAUUGAAAGAUGGUUCUGCUAUCACUAAGAGAUGGACCCGCGGUGCAUUAGCUAGUUGGUAAGGUAAUGGCUUACCAAGGCGAUGAUGCGUAGCCGAGUUGAGAGACUGAUCGGCCACAAUGGGACUGAGACACGGCCCAUACUCCUACGGGAGGCAGCAGUAGGGAAUCUUCCACAAUGGGCGCAAGCCUGAUGGAGCAACGCCGCGUGUGUGAUGAAGGGUUUCGGCUCGUAAAACACUGUUAUAAGAGAAGAACGACAUUGAGAGUAACUGUUCAGUGUGUGACGGUAUCUUAUCAGAAAGGAACGGCUAAAUACGUGCCAGCAGCCGCGGUAAUACGUAUGUUCCAAGCGUUAUCCGGAUUUAUUGGGCGUAAAGCGAGCGCAGACGGUUAUUUAAGUCUGAAGUGAAAGCCCUCAGCUCAACUGAGGAAGGGCUUUGGAAACUGGAUAACUUGAGUGCAGUAGAGGAAAGUGGAACUCCAUGUGUAGCGGUGAAAUGCGUAGAUAUAUGGAAGAACACCGGUGGCGAAAGCGGCUUUCUGGACUGUAACUGACGUUGAGGCUCGAAAGUGUGGGUAGCAAACAGGAUUAGAUACCCUGGUAGUCC
rnacentral:rRNA from 1 species